CGCAGCCGCGGUAAUUCCAGCUCCAAUAGCGUAUAUUAAAGUUGUUGCAGUUAAAAAGCUCGUAGUUGAAUUUCGGGGUUCAUACGUUGGUCGGGCUUUUUGGUCUGUACUAGCGUAAUGGAUUCCUACCUUCUGAAUAACCGGCAUGUCAUUAAUUUGGUGCGCCGGGGAAGCAGGACUGUUACCUUGAAAAAUUAGAGUGCUUAAAGCAGGCUAUCGCCUGAAUACGUUAGCAUGGAAUAAUGAAAUAGGACGGCAUGGUUCUAUUUUGUUGGUUUCUAGGAUCACCGUAAUGAUUAAUAGGGAUAGUUGGGGGCAUUAGUAUUCAAUUGUCAGAGGUGAAAUUCUUGGAUUUAUUGAAGACUAACUUCUGCGAAAGCAUUUGCCAAGGAUGUUUUCAUUAAUCAAGACGAAAGUUAGGGGAUCGAAGACGAUCAGAUACCGUCGUAG
rnacentral:rRNA from 1 species